UACGUAGGCAGCAAGCGUUGUUCGGAGUUACUGGGCGUAAAGAGUGCGUAGGCGGAAGCUUAAGUGUGGCCUGAAAGCCCCCGGCUCAACCGGGGAAGGUGGCUGCAAACUGGGCUUCUUGAGGGCGAUAGAGGAGGGUGGAAUUCCUGGUGUAGCGGUGAAAUGCGUAGAUAUCAGGAGGAACACCGGUGGCGAAGGCGGCCCUCUGGGUCGACCCUGACGCUGAGGCGCGAAAGCGUGGGGAGCGAACAGG
rnacentral:rRNA from 1 species